rnacentral:tRNA from 1 species
GUCUUCGUAGUGUAGUGGUCAGCACGCUCGGGCGCGUAUUCCAGAGGUCCGUGGUUCGAAUCCCAGUGAAGGCA